GGAAUGGUACUCAAGUGAUUUAAGAGGGCAGCUUGGAGAGCUGUUAGAUAGGGUAUAUCCUUAUGCGGAGGUUUGAAUCCUCUCCAUUCCGCCA
rnacentral:tRNA from 2 species